rnacentral:misc_RNA from 1 species
GUAGGUGAACCUGCGGAAGGAUCAUCACUGCAUAAUCCGCCUUUCUACACCUCUGUGGACUGACUGGUCGGGGCUGAUGGGCCGGUUGCGGCCUGGACGCGCCGACGUCUUUCAUUUUCAACGCGCUCACUACUCUGUUUUAUAUAAGAAAACAUACACAACUUUUAACAACGGAUCUCUUGGUUCUC